AUUGAACGCUGGCGGCAUGCCUUACACAUGCAAGUCGAACGGCAGCGCGGACUUCGGUCUGGCGGCGAGUGGCGAACGGGUGAGUAAUACAUCGGAACGUACCCUGUUGUGGGGGAUAACUAGUCGAAAGAUUAGCUAAUACCGCAUACGACCUGAGGGUGAAAGUGGGGGACCGCAAGGCCUCACGCAGCAGGAGCGGCCGAUGGCUGAUUAGCUAGUUGGUGGGGUAAAGGCCCACCAAGGCGACGAUCAGUAGCUGGUCUGAGAGGACGAUCAGCCCCACUGGGACUGAGACACGGCCCAGACUCCUACGGGAGGCAGCAGUGGGGAAUUUUGGACAAUGGGGGCAACCCUGAUCCAGCAAUGCCGCGUGUGUGAAGAAGGCCUUCGGGUUGUAAAGCACUUUUGUCCGGAAAGAAAUCGCGCUGGUUAAUACCUGGCGUGGAUGACGGUACCGGAAGAAUAAGCACCGGCUAACUACGUGCCAGCCGCCGCGGUAA
rnacentral:rRNA from 1 species